rnacentral:rRNA from 1 species
AUUGAACGCUGGCGGCAGGCCUAACACAUGCGAGUCGAACGGUAACAGGAAGCAGCUUGCUGCUUCGCUGACGAGUGGCGGACGGGUGAGUAAUGUCUGGGAAACUGCCUGAUGGAGGGGGAUAACUACUGGAAACGGUAGCUAAUACCGCAUAACGUCGCAAGACCAAAGAGGGGGACCUUAGGGCCUCUUGCCAUCGGCUGUGCCCAGAUGGGAUUAGCUAGUAGGUGGGGUAACGGCUCACCUAGGCGACGAUCCCUAGCUGGUCUGAGAGGAUGACCAGCCACACUGGAACUGAGACACGGUCCAGACUCCUACGGGAGGCAGCAGUGGGGAAUAUUGCACAAUGGGCGCAAGCCUGAUGCAGCCAUGCCGCGUGUAUGAAGAAGGCCUUCGGGUUGUAAAGUACUUUCAGCGGGGAGGAAGGGAGUAAAGUUAAUACCUUUGCUCAUUGACGUUACCCGCAGAAGAAGCACCGGCUAACUCCGUG